AUAAGGAAAUGGGAACAGAAAGUAUACCUAUUCUUUUUUAAAGACUUUUUUAUUGAUUUUUAGAGAGAAAGGAAGGGAGAGAGAGAAAGAAACAUUGAAGUGAGAGUGAAACACUGAUUGGCUGCCUCCUGUAUGGCCCCUACCUGGGAUCAAGUAUGCAACCUGGGCAUAUGCCCCCAACCUGGAAUCAAACCUGCAGUUUUUCAGUGCACAAGAUGAUACCGAACCAACUGAGCCACACCUGGGCCACAGCCAUUGGGUUUUAUCACUGCUCUUCAUGAGGAUGAUCAAAUUCUCUUAAGAAGCACCAUUUCAGCUGGAUAUAGAAUGCAGAUGCUACUAAGCAAGGCCAUGUGAAGAAAUAGCUGCAUAGCUAAGUCCAGAUUUCCCCAGCCUGUCAGUCAUUACAACUACAAGCUGCCCAAGCACAUUCGAAAGCCAUUGAGCAGCUAAUUUCCCAAGAUAGAUUUAAAAGACAUGAGAUAGCUGUGGUUGUGGUCUCUCUGGCUCCCACCACACAAAGCAGAGUUCUGAAGUGCAUGAGGAUUUCUUUUGCUGGUGCCAAGUAGUCAAGGCAUCCAAGGAAUCAAAAAGGGCCAAAAUUGGAUACACAAUGAAGCAGAGGAAGGCAUGACACCAGGACCCAACAGUCUCCAUCUGCUAAUAGGAGGUACCAGAGAGAGACCAGAGUGGUUGGGUUGGAAGAAGAAACCUGCCUCUUCCAUUUGCUCCUGCCAACAGCUCCCCAUCAAUGGCUCUUUAUCCUGGUAACAGUGGUUGAUUUCAGAAGCUGCAAGUGGUUCCAAUUUUCAGUUUUUCCACACUUCACACCUCACUAUGCCCCCUUAAAGACCACCCCGCCUUGCCCUGGCUGGUUUGGCUCACUGGAUAGAGCGUCGGCCAGGGGACUGAAGGGUCCCAGGUUUAAUUCCGGUCAAGGGCAUGUACCUUGGUUGUGGGCACAUCCCCAGUGGGAGAUGUGCAGGAGGAAGCUGAUCGAUGCUUCUCUCUCGUCGAUGUUUCUAACUCUCUAUUCCCCUCCCUUCC